AUACGGGGGGAGCAAGCGUUGUCCGGAAUUACUGGGCGUAAAGGGCGUGUAGGCGGCUUGAUAAGUCAGAUGUGAAAGCCUUCCGCUUAACGGAAGAACUGCAUUUGAAACUGUCGGGCUUGAGUGCGAGAGAGGGUAGUGGAAUUCCCAGUGUAGCGGUGAAAUGCGUAGAUAUUGGGAAGAACACCAGUAGCGAAGGCGGCUACCUGGCUCGUAACUGACGCUAAGGCGCGAAAGCGUGGGGAGCAAACAGGAUUAGAAACCCCAGUAGUCC
rnacentral:rRNA from 1 species